GUGGGGAAUUUUGGACAAUGGGCGCAAGCCUGAUCCAGCAAUGCCGCGUGCAGGAAGAAGGCCUUCGGGUUGUAAACUGCUUUUGUACGGAACGAAACGGUCCUGGUUAAUACCUGGGGCUAAUGACGGUACCGUAAGAAUAAGCACCGGCUAACUACGUGCCAGCAGCCGCGGUAAUACGUAGGGUGCGAGCGUUAAUCGGAAUUACUGGGCGUAAAGCGUGCGCAGGCGGUGCUGUAAGACAGGCGUGAAAUCCCCGGGCUCAACCUGGGAAUUGCGCUUGUGACUACAGUGCUGGAGUACGGCAGAGGGGGAUGGAAUUCCGCGUGUAGCAGUGAAAUGCGUAGAUAUGCGGAGGAACACCGAUGGCGAAGGCAGUCCCCUGGGCCUGUACUGACGCUCAUGCACGAAAGCGUGGGGAGCAAACAGGAUUAGAUACCCUGGUAGUCC
rnacentral:rRNA from 1 species